AUACGGAGGAUGCGAGCGUUAUCCGGAUUUAUUGGGUUUAAAGGGAGCGUAGGUGGGAUAUUAAGUCAGCUGUGAAAGUUUGGGGCUCAACCUUAAAAUUGCAGUUGAUACUGGUUUCCUUGAGUACGGUACAGGUGGGCGGAAUUCGUGGUGUAGCGGUGAAAUGCUUAGAUAUCACGAAGAACUCCGAUCGCGAAGGCAGCUCACCGGGCCGGAACUGACACUGAUGCUCGAAAGUGCGGGUAUCAAACAGGAUUAGAUACCCUGGUAGUCCGCACAGUAAACGAUGAAUACUCGCUGUUUGCGAUACACUGUAAGCGGCCAAGCGAAAGCGUUAAGUAUUCCACCUGGGGAGUACGCCGGCAACGGUGAAACUCAAAGGAAUUGACGGGG
rnacentral:rRNA from 1 species